GUACUGAUGAAGAGUCCCAAACUAGGACGAAACAGUUGUCUGCAGUAA
rnacentral:hammerhead_ribozyme from 1 species